AUACGUAUGUCGCAAGCGUUAUCCGGAUUUAUUGGGCGUAAAGCGCGUCUAGGCGGCUUAGUAAGUCUGAUGUGAAAAUGCGGGGCUCAACCCCGUAUUGCGUUGGAAACUGCUAAACUAGAGUACUGGAGAGGUAGGCGGAACUACAAGUGUAGAGGUGAAAUUCGUAGAUAUUUGUAGGAAUGCCGAUGGGGAAGCCAGCCUACUGGACAGAUACUGACGCUAAAGCGCGAAAGCGUGGGAAGCAAACAGGAUUAGAUACCCUGGUAGUCCACGCCGUAAACGAUGAUUACUAGGUGUUGGGGGUCGAACCUCAGCGCCCAAGCUAACGCGAUAAGUAAUCCGCCUGGGGAGUCCGUACGCAAGUAUGAAACUCAAAGGAAUUGACGGGG
rnacentral:rRNA from 1 species